GACGAACGCUGGCGGCGUGCCUAAUACAUGCAAGUCGAGCGAAUCAAUGGGAGCUUGCUCCCUGAGAUUAGCGGCGGACGGGUGAGUAACACGUGGGUAACCUGCCUGUAAGACUGGGAUAACUUCGGGAAACCGGAGCUAAUACCGGAUAAUUUCUUUUCUCGCAUGAGGAGAGAUGGAAAGAUGGUUCUGCUAUCACUUACAGAUGGACCCGCGGCGCAUUAGCUAGUUGGUGAGGUAACGGCUCACCAAGGCGACGAUGCGUAGCCGACCUGAGAGGGUGAUCGGCCACACUGGGACUGAGACACGGCCCAGACUCCUACGGGAGGCAGCAGUAGGGAAUCUUCCGCAAUGGACGAAAGUCUGACGGAGCAACGCCGCGUGAGCGAUGAAGGCCUUCGGGUCGUAAAGCUCUGUUGUCAGAGAAGAACAAGUACCGGAGUAACUGCCGGUACCUUGACGGUACCUGACCAGAAAGCCACGGCUAACUACGUGCCAGCCGCCGCAGUAAGAC
rnacentral:rRNA from 1 species